CUCCGCCUCCUCUCUCCUUCCCUUCGACCUCUCUCCUUUCCUCACCUCUAGUCUCUCUCUCACUCUUCCCCCACCGCACCCAACAGCAGCGUCCACCCUUCUCCGGUGACACCUCCGCCAGCCACCGCCACAACCACGCUUCUCCCCUGUCGCUCGCCCGGCUAGCAGCAGCACCGCCAUCGCCGCCUCUGCGUCGACAGCAGCACAGCCCAGCCCCCGCCCCUCCUUUCUCUCUCUUCCUCAGCCGAACAGCCAUCGGCGAGGCCGAAGCUGCCGCCUCCUUAUUCCAGAUCUGGCGCCCUCUCUUUCCUUCGGCCGGCAGAAACGGCUGCCAUCGCCGCCGCCAUGCCAGGCAGCAGCAGUGGGCAGGUCGCCGCCGCCGCCUCCUGCUUCCCUCUUCCGACUACAGUCUUCCCUCCCCCCAACCAACCUUCCACUUCUCCCUAAUUCUCCAUUUCUUUCCACACUAAUUCUAUUUCCUUAUGGAAAUUACAGAAAAUCGAUGUAUGCAUGUUUUGAUUUGAAAACAGAAUUCUGUUGUAAAGUUUUGAUUUUUGGGCAGAUAUGAAAACAAUGAAGAAAUCAUUG
rnacentral:lncRNA from 1 species